rnacentral:lncRNA from 1 species
CUCUAGAUUGGUGUGCACACUUUCGCAAGCAGACACUACCCCUACUCGUAAAUUGGCAAAAGCCGAAAUAUGUGACCGUCGAUGCUACAUGAGUGUGCGCUCACUCAUGUGGUAAAUCGAAUGCCUAAACAUUGGCGUAAGAUCGUGGAGGCCGGCCAUGAGCAAUUUCAUGGGAUUAGGCCAUUUUAGGCCAUGUUGGGCCAAAAUGGGUCGU